CCAUCAAGCCUGGCUUGUCGAUUGGACCUCUUUACCGCUGAAAUAUGUGGUAGGUCCGAAAGAUAAUGACGGCGUCGUGUUUGACCCUAGAUGCAACGAGCUUUUUUAUAGCACGCAUUGAAGUGGUCGGCCGACCCGGUCUUUAACCAUUAUUUUCUAAGGUUGACCUCGGAUCAGGUAGGAAUACCCGCUGAACUUAA
rnacentral:misc_RNA from 1 species